CAAGGCUUGACAUAUACAGGAAUACGGCAGAGAUGUCGUAGCCGCAAGGUCUGUAUACAGGUGGUGCAUGGUUGUCGUCAGCUCGUGUCGUGAGAUGUUGGGUUAAGUCCCGCAACGAGCGCAACCCUCGUUCUGUGUUGCCAGCAUUUAGUUGGGGACUCACAGGAGACUGCCGGGGUUAACUCGGAGGAAGGUGGGGAUGACGUCAAAUCAUCAUGCCCCUUAUGUCUUGGGCUGCACGCAUGCUACAAUGGCUGGUACAAACGGCUGCAAUACCGCAAGGUGGAGCGAAUCCGAGAAAGCCAGUCUCAGUUCGGAUUGGGGUCUGCAACUCGACCCCAUGAAGUCGGAGUUGCUAGUAAUCGUAGAUCAGCAACGCUACGGUGAAUAC
rnacentral:rRNA from 1 species